GCAAGAGUGGCGAAACUGGUAGACGCGCUGGAUUUAGGUUCCAGAGCCCGAAAGGGUGUGUGGGUUCAAGUCCCUCCUCUUGCACCA
rnacentral:tRNA from 1 species